UACGUAGGGUGCAAGCGUUAAUCGGAAUUACUGGGCGUAAAGCGUGCGCAGGCGGUUGUGCAAGACAGAUGUGAAAUCCCCGGGCUUAACCUGGGAACUGCAUUUGUGACUGCACGGCUAGAGUGUGUCAGAGGGGGGUAGAAUUCCACGUGUAGCAGUGAAAUGCGUAGAUAUGUGGAGGAAUACCGAUGGCGAAGGCAGCCCCCUGGGAUAACACUGACGCUCAUGGCACGAAAGCGUGGGGAGCAAACAGG
rnacentral:rRNA from 1 species